AUUUUUUUAAAAACCAACUUUUUAAUUGGAAUGAUACAGAGAAGGUUAACAUGGCCCCUGUGUAAGGAUGACACACAGAUUUGGGAAAUAUUCCAUAUUUUU
ensembl:snRNA U6 U6 spliceosomal RNA